GUCGGAUAUGAUCCCAGUAUCCCUGCUGCUCCUCUCUCCUGGUUCUUGCUCCUCAGGAGUCAGAGUCACAGAAAUGCAGUUCUCAUUUGCGGGAGCUCCGUGGAGAAAGUGCUGGCCAGUUCAUCCUUGCAGGCCUAAUUCCAGGCGUGUGUUAUAUAUAUGUUAUAUUGGUGGAGUGACUGUGUUCUUUAUUUAUACUUACUGAGUGCAAACCGUGGGGGUGAAAAGGGCUUUCCCAGACUCCAGCAUGUUUAUUUCAAGUGUCCUCUUCGAUGGCUAAUCUUGGGUGGUCAACUUGACAGUGUGUCAAGGAAGAGAGAGCCCCAUGUGGGGAGUUGCCUAGAUCAAAUUGUCUGGUGGGCAUGUCUGUGGAUCAUUCUCUUUAAUGUUAAUUGGUGUAGGACGGCCCAGCCCACAUUGGAUGGUUCAUACCUUAGGCAGGUAUGCGUGAGCUGAAUAAGAAAGCUGAGCCAGAGCCUGAGAGCAAGCCAGCAAGUAAGCUCUCUCCACACUUUCUACUUCAAGUUCCCACCUAAAGGUCCCGUCUUGACUCCCCUCCACGAUCUAUGAAACAAAAUAAACCCUUUCCUACCCUAGCUGCUUUUGGUCAGAAUGUUUUAAAUCAGCAACAGAAAAGCAAACUAGAACACCCUCAAAAUGUCUGUUCUGGAGCAGGCUGGUCCCCAACUCUGUAACAGGGAGGAUUAUGCAAGAUCUAUGGCAACUAUUGUCUGUAUUUUUUCUACCAGUGCCCUAAGGUAUCCCGCAGAGAUGGGGCAAGUAAGGGGCCUCAGGAAGCUUAUGGGCGUUUCUCUUUCUAUCUCAGGAGCUGGCCUGCAUCGUUACUUCGGAUCUUCACAGACUGUGGGCCCCGGUCAGAGUCCAUAGAGGAAUGGGAUGUUUACCCCAGCAUUCGGAACAAGAGCAGUCAGUACCCACUGAGUCACGGAGGAUGGGCUUCCGCGGGUAGCAGAGGAGCCAAUGAGCACUACCGAGAGAGGGAAGCUGUUGAGUAGCCAGAGAGGUUUACUUUCCUGAGAAACACCAACCCAGAUCUGAGGGGCUGAAGAUCUUUCCAUUCUGGCUCCUCAGGUUACCUGGGGGAGGGGACCGCCUCCUUGGCCAAAGCAUUGGGACUUUUUUUUUUUCCCCCAAAUCUCCCUCACCUCUCUCGACCAUCUCUGUGGCAUUUCUUUUCAGGUCCCAGACUGAACUCUCUAAAAAAAAAGUUAUACUUUUCAGUAUUUCGCAACUACCCAAAAUUCCAACCACAGGAAAACAAUUAUUUAAAUUUCUCCAGGCGCCUAUACGUGAAGACUAUUUAUUUUCCUCUUACAUUCCCACGGCCUUCUCCAACGGAGUUUUCCUGGGGCAGAGCUCUGGGGCUGAAGCUUCAGCUGCUGACUUCAGGCUAGUGGCCCGGGGAGGAGCCACUGCGAUCUAAGCUCAGCUUUUGAUCUCAAUUUAGAAAACUGCUGCGGCCUCUACUGGUUUCAAUAGAAUCUCAGAAGUUUAAUGAACUGAAACGCAUUGAAACUGCUCAAACCCAAGAAGGGCUAAGCUGGUUUAAAUUCCCUUCAACAGAUGCAGGAACAGGAGAGGGAGCGGCGGGUGUGCGGGAAGCCAGGACGUGGUACGCUGCCUCGCGGGUGUGGGAGAUCUUUCGUCCCCAGGUCACCUGAAAACAUGGCAGACCUGAGGGUCGCGGAGUCGCGGUAUGGCAGCGAGCCCCGGGCCAGGCUGGUCGCAGAGGACAGGAUAUCCUAUUGCGGUGUCGUGUUCAGGCAGCUACGGUGUGGAUUGGUGUCUCUGAACGGAGAGAUAGGACGCAAAUGCGGCAGGCAAUUGAUCUAAGGCAGGUGUGAUGCCAGGGCCUGCUCCCCUUUCCUUCCUGUGCUAAGUCAGGGAUAUGAACGGAAGGAAAAUAGUUCCUGUGUGGACUAAAGAGAUAGGUCCCACCGAGAUUUGAACUCGGAUCGCUGGAUUCAGAGUCCAGAGUGCUCACCAUUACACCAUGGAACCAUAUAUGUGGAGAGGCUUUGACUCACGAUAGGUGACCAAAUCCAUUUUCGACUUCCAUCGUGCCCACGAUUUCUUCAUCAAGCACUUUUCUUACAGUCAGGAUCAGAGCACCCUAAUUCACAACCGGAAGAAUCGCACAUACGAUCGUUCUGUUCCGCUCUUGGCGUGUGGGGUGUAGCGGGCCCUCACCUCUUUACUCCUUCUUAGUCCUUGUCUCUCUCUUUCGUGCUCCUCAACCCCCGGCGCAGCCCAGGCCACAAAUCAUCGGGAAGUUGCAGCCAAGGGAAGAAAGGAAGGCGGGCCCCCUCUGGAGGAGCGUCGCAGCAUCUCUGGUCAGAAUGCUGUAGGGUCUGUACAGGAGACGGGGCGAAACGAUCCGGGCAGCCCUUCGAGCCAGGGCAGCGCUGGCCUAAGGUUUCUUUCUCUCAUUCUCCCUCUUCCCUCAACUCCUGACGGCCAUGGACGGAGCAUCUCCACAGGGCCAUAUGCUCCCUGCUCUGACAUGCAUUGACUGUGGUAAAGAUCCUGCCUCACCUUGGGUUGACAGCAAGGUGCCAGCCAAGCACGGGCAGGAACCUCUGAGAUCACCAGACCAAAGAAACCUUUUCAUGCUUCGUUCUCAAAAAAUAACAGCAGGGAAUUGCAGCUUCGGUUGUUUUCUGGUCAAUAGUGGUUGUCCUGGGGCAGCCUAGAGGAGUAGAAUUUAAUUUUUCUCAAAUUAUCCUUUUAUUAAAUGAGUACAAAGCAAAUAGAUUCAUGUAUUUAAAAAGAGAAAAAUAAGAAAAAAUAAGAAAGAUGGCUCAACUGUUCCCAAAUAUGGAAAUAAUUUAAUCUGGAAAGAAGAGUUUCUCCAAGGAGAAAGUCCUGAAUAUGUGACAGACACAUAUUCCUGGGAAGAUUCAGGGAAUACAGCUCCGACUUCCUGUGGCUGCUUGGAGAUCAAAAGAUGGUUUAGCCAAAACCAUCCAAUGGAAAAAAGAUAGCAUUUUCAGCAAAUGGUGCUGGUUCAACU
ensembl:lncRNA